CACACAUAUAUAUAUAUAUAUUAUUUUGAGAAGGAAUCUCGCUCUGUCACCUAGGUUAGAGUGCAGUGGUGCAAUCAUAGCUCACUGCAGCUGGGACUGCAGACACAUGCCACUACUCGGCUAAUUUUUAUAUUUUUUUUUUGUAGAGACAGGGUCUCACUAUGUUGCCCAGGCUGGUCUGAAACUCCUGAGCUCAAGCGAUCAGCCCGCCUUGACCUCCUGAAGUGCUGGGAUUACAGGCGUGAGCCCCUGCGCCCGGCCUAGAUCUUCUGAUUUCUAAAAAGAAGCUGGCAGUAUUUUUAGCUCGGAGCAGUUUGAUCGUCUGAAGCCUUCUCUCAACUCGUCAAAGUCAUUCUCCAUCCAGCUUUGUUCCAUUGCUGGUGAGGAACUGCAUUCCUUUGGAGGAGGAGAGGAGGUCAUAUAGUUGGAAUCAUACAGUAUGCAGCCUUUUCAGAUUUUCAGGCAAAACCGUGGAGACAACAAAAAGAUACAAGAAGAUUUUAGAGAUGGGAUUUCACCAUGUUGCCAAGCCUGUCUUGAACUCCUGGCCUCAAGCAAUCUACCCUCCUCAGCCUCCAAAGUGCUGGGGUUACAGGUGUGAGCCCCUAUGCCUGGCCUUACUGUAGCUACAUCUAAGUCUCACUGUGUCACCCAGGUUGGAGUGCAGUCACGUGAUCUUGGGUCAUUAUAACCUCCGGCUCCUGGGUCCAAAUGAUUCUCAUGCCUCAGCCUCCAGAGUAGCUGGGAUUACAGGCACCCGCUACCACA